AUGCCACGUGCUGAUGGUCCCUUUAAGGUGUUAGAGAAAAUAAAUGAUAAUGCAUAUAAACUUGAGCUGCCUGCAGAUUUUGGGGUUAGUCCCACUUUUAACAUUGCAGAUUUGAAGCCUUAUUUGGGUGAGGAAGAUGAACUUCCGUCGAGGACGACUUCAUUUCAAGAAGGGGAGGAUGAUGAGGACAUCAAUACAAUUGUUACACCCACAGCUCCCGCUGCUAUACAUACUGGACCAAUUACUAGAGCUCGUGCACGCCAACUAAAUUACCAGGUACUUUCGUUUCUUGGUAAUGAUUCUAAUGUUCAUGAGAAUAUGAUGCUGCCUAAAUUGGAUACAUUUGUUUUGCUUACAAAUGAAGGGCCUAGCUUGGAGAAGGAUGAACAUUGGAGC
rnacentral:rRNA from 1 species